GCACUUCGGGAUAAGCCUGGGAAACUGGGUCUAAUACCGAAUAGGACCAUUUAGCGCAUGCUUUAUGGUGGAAAGCUUUUGCGGUGUGGGAUGGGCCCGCGGCCUAUCAGCUUGUUGGUGGGGUGACGGCCUACCAAGGCGACGACGGGUAGCCGGCCUGAGAGGGUGUCCGGCCACACUGGGACUGAGAUACGGCCCAGACUCCUACGGGAGGCAGCAGUGGGGAAUAUUGCACAAUGGGCGCAAGCCUGAUGCAGCGACGCCGCGUGGGGGAUGACGGCCUUCGGGUUGUAAACCUCUUUCAGCAGGGACGAAGCGCAAGUGACGGUACCUGCAGAAGAAGCACCGGCCAACUACGUGCCAGCAGCCGCGGUAAUACGUAGGGUGCGAGCGUUGUCCGGAAUUACUGGGCGUAAAGAGCUCGUAGGUGGUUUGUCGCGUUGUUCGUGAAAUCUCACGGCUUAACUGUGAGCGUGCGGGCGAUACGGGCAGACUGGAGUACUGCAGGGGAGACUGGAAUUCAUGGUGUAGCGGUGGAAUGCGCAGAUAUCAAGAGGAACACCGGUGGCGAAGGCGGGUCUCUGGGCAGUAACUGACGCUGAGGAGCGAAAGCGUGGGGAGCGAACAGGAUUAGAUACCCUGGUAGUCCACGCCGUA
rnacentral:rRNA from 1 species